rnacentral:lncRNA from 1 species
CUGAAUCAAAUUCGUUUUCUUUUCGCCACAACAAUCACUCUCCACUAUUUUUCUCCGCUGCUCUUCUAUCAAGUACUGCAUGAAACUAUCGCUCUUUAGAUGGCACUCUGUCAAUCUCUUCUCCAUCUUUUUUGAUUUAAUCCACGGUAUAAAGUCUCCAAUAAUGGUUUUGCCACCUAGCAAGAAGCUUUCAGCAUGAAUUGCGCGAAACCUUUUUGCUUCUUCCACAUCAGAAACAUCCUCUCCAUAAUAUCUCUUUCCAGCUAUCAUCCGCAUCAUUAUAUUCAGUGUCAAUUCGAAGAAAACUGUCUUCAUAUCUACAAUCUGAUUUUGAUUACGAAAGAGAACACAAAUCAUUGACUUCACCUCCUCCAGACGUAUGGCAGAGAGCAUUUGGAGGCGGUGUGCAGACAGGACUUCAAUAGAGACGAUUCUCCUAAGGUUUCGCCAGUGGUCGCCAUAGGGAGCCCAAGCAAGGCUUGUGCUGUUGUAGGCGAGGUGUUUUGCAAUGAGCAAACGUGGGCGGUUUGCAAAGACAACAUCAUUUUUGGUAAAGCAUUCUUCAGCUAUCGAAGGGGAUGAGACAACAAGUUGUCGACGAGACCCGAGUUGGAGCAAGAUUACGGGGCCAUGUUUACUAGAGAUUUUUGAUAGUGUCCUGUAAAUUGGCUUCUUAAGUAGGUAGAGAUGGCCAAUGAUUGGUAGUGAAGGGAAUGGACUCGGUGGGAAGUUUCUUAUCUUGUUUAGGAAGUGCGCUGUUAUGAUAUACAAGGCUAAAAACACAGGAAAGUAGAGAAAGAAGGUUGCCAUGGAUUUGGCAAUAGCCACUGCCACUGUCCUUGUUUUUUAGGGAGGUGUGUGAAUUAUAUUGUGCGUGUCUUGAUGAGAGCAUCUAUAUGUUAAUUAUUUCAUACUAGGAGUCACGGAAAUGAAAGAAACAGAAUUGAAAUUUCUUGAGGUCGAGUCUGCUCGUCUUAUCUCAUCGAUAUAAAAAGCAACUAUGGACGUGAUGACUGAUGAGGUCAGUGCAGACGUGUCUGUAUUGAACUAGUUACGUGCGAAGUUAUUAAACGGGACACGACACGAGCUUUUGGUAAUGACUAAUGAGUUAAAUAUUAAGCAUAACAUGCGUUUGAAGAUUUUUUUAAAAUAUUAAAUAUAAUAUUGUUUAAAUUUCUUUUCAAAAAAUAAUUUUUAUAUGGUUAAUUCAAUUAAAAGUUGACUUAUCAAGUCAGAAAUUCAUUCGACACUUAGCGCAGGAGCUAGAAACCAAAACAUAUAUAGAUCAUGCAAGGAACGCCAUAAUCAACUAACAGCUACGAUCUCUAGAGAGAAUUAGUUGCCAAGUUGGGAAAUCACAUGUAUCCCUUCCAAAGGUGCCCAGAGGACGGGGCAGACGCAUCAGAGCGACAACCCGGGAGCGGAUUCCCUACCGGCAAGGGGGCAGGAGACGGUCAUCUCGAGGCACAUCACGACCUACAGGCAAGAUCGACGAGGCUAGUGGAGGUCACGACCCACGGCAAGGUGGCCUUCCACGCAGUCACUAUAUCUAUAUGAAUAUCGUUCUUGAACUUCUAGAGCUAGCCCAGUCCAAAAGAGGCUAGUGAAGGUCACAUGAAUGGAAAGCCCUUGAUUCCUAAUUUAAAAAAAAAAAAACAAAAAAACCAAAGAUUUCUUGCUUUUAUUGCCAAAUCGUAUGUGAACAAAUUUUAUUUGCUGCAAUGCUCCCUUGUUUUCUAAAAUCUUAGUCAUUUCGCAAGUGGCACUUAUGAAAAUUCUUCCUUUUUCAAAUUAUAUACAAAAGCAUGGUAGUGUCUCCAUUCUCCACAAGUCUCAACUUACGAGAGCAGGUGCUAUCUGCUAGAUUAGAAAAAGGCAUGGCAAUGUCUGAAAGAACAAGGCAAAUUCAACUGAUAAAAAACUACCGAAGCAAAGAGACUGUGAACAAAUGGCAAGAGUAAAGGUUUCCCUACUUUUUUUUAUGCAGCAUAUAAAUGGAGGGAGGAUAUAUGAUACGUGGCAGUUAUUCUUUCGAUCACAAGUGAAAUGGAAGGCAGCCAUUUUUUUUUUUAUAAGCAAAAGGUAAUAAAGCCCAAGAAAGGCACAAACCAUAGCCAUGUGAUAAUAUGGAAACUGUCAUAAUCUAUUUUUCAAUUAUUUUUUAAAUUUACUUUUAAAAAUAAAUAUAUAACAUAAAAUAAAAUAAAAACUUGUGAUAUGGAGAAAACAUAUCAAAAAGGAUCCCAAACAUAUAGGAAAAUAAAGUUGCAAUUUUAGAUAAAUUUUGAGGCCUGAUUAUACAUCAUUAUACCCAGGAUUGAAGAUACAAUGCAGAUUCAAGGUCAAAUUAAAUAAUUACUGGAUGAAUUUGUAUAAAAAUUAAAUCCAAUGAUAUAAUUAAAUUUUUAAUAAACCCAUUCGAUUUAAUCAUGAGUCAAAUUAAAGUUUAAUUAUGUUUGAGAAUUAAUUUGGGUCCAAUUGAAGAAUUUAAUUAGGUGCAAGGACGUAAUUAAAUUUUAAAUGAGUCAAAUUAAUUUUAUUAAGGGUUUAGUUAGUGAAAACUUAAUUUUGGAAGCCUAAUUUGGGUUUAAUUGAAAAUAUUAGAAUUUUAGGAAAUCAAAUUUAAUUUUUACAAAAUCAAUUGAUUGAAAUCAUGGAUAAAAUAAAAUAAAGUUUUCAGGUUGGGUAGGGGAUAAAUUAAAGAAUUUUAUAGCUAAUGAUCAAUUUACAAAAGUCGUCGAACUAUAAAAGCUUAAUUCAUUGCAAUCGAGGUGAAAAUAAAGAAAUUAAAAGUUUCAUGGUUAAUUAGGUGCACAAUUAUAUAAAUCCGAGAUCAAUGACUAAAAUGAAAACAACAUAAAAUGAGGUCUGAUAUUAUAAUUCAACGGGGCCUAAAUUAUAUUAAAUCCAAAGUUUAGGGUUAAUUAAAUGUACAAUUAAAGAAAUCAAAAGUCAAAUGACCAAAAAGAACUUUGACUAAAAUUUAUAAUUCAAACAUAAAACAAUGACAUUUCAAAUUAAAAAAAUAAAAAACCAAACAUCAUUAACAAUACUCUAAAAGACAUGGAAAUGUAUUGUAGCUUCUCCCAUGCCUUUUAUUUUCGUUGUACUAAUAUCUUUAUUUUUUUUGUCUUUAAAUUCCUCACGCCUUUUAUUUUUGUUGUACUAAUAUAUAUAUAUAUAUAUAUUUUUACAUGUUUUCCCCCCAUGAUUCACUUCUUUUUAAAAAAAAUUAUAUGUUUUUUUCAAAAUUAUUUUUGCUGAUUGUUUUUUAAUAUUAAACUAGUUGAGAAUUUCGCUCUGUUAUUUAAAACAAAACAUUGUAAAUUGAUAAGGUAUUUUCCUCACAUGGUUUUUCUUUUGCUACAAUAUCUCUUUAUAUGGUUUUUUUUUCAAAAUUCUCUUUGUUGAUUUUUUUUUUAAUAUUGAGCUGGUUAACAAUUUAUCUUUAACUUUCCCCGCAUGUUUUUUUCUUUAUUUUUUGUUUUUUUAUUUUUUUCCCAAAAUUGUGUUAUUUUUUCUGUGUGUUUUUUUUUAGAAUUGUUUUUGUCGACUUUAUUUUUUUAAUAUUGAACUGGUUGAGAAUUUAGCUUUAUAGAUUUUUCAUUAAAACACUGUUGAUUGCUAUAGUGUUUUUCCAUAUGGUUUUGUUUUUCCAGAAUUGUCUUUGUUAAUUUUAGUUUUUUUCAUAUUUAGCCGAUUGAUAAUUUAGAUUUGUAGUUUUUUUCUUAAAAAAAAAAAACAUUGUGGAUCGUUACAAUAUUUAUCUACAUGAUUUUUCCUUGCUACAAUGUUUUUUCACAUGUUUUUUUAUCAAUUUUUUUCAAAUUUAUCUUUGUCAAAUUUAUUUUUUCUAUAUUAAGUUAGUUGAAAAUUUAGUUUUGUAGCUUUUUUCUUCAAAACACCGUUGAUUGCUAAAGUGUUUCCUCACAUGAUUGAUUUUUGUUAUAAUUAUUUUCAAAAAUUUCUUUAUCGAUUUUAUUGUUUUUAAUAUUGAACUGAUUGAAAAUUACAACUGUAGAUUUUCUCAUGAAACACUGUAGAUUACUACAGUGUUUUCAUGCAUAGUUUUUUUUUUCCUUUCGUUUUUAAUUUUUUUUUAAAAUUAUCUUUAUUGAUUUAUUUUUGUAAUAUCGAGUUGGUUGAUAAUUACAACUGUAUAUUUCAUCACAAAAUAUUUUAGAUUGCUGCAGUGUUUUUUCUACAUAAUUAUUUUUUCUUUUGUUUUUUUUAUGAUUUUUUUCAAAAUUAUCCUUGUUUAUUUUUUUUUUAAUAUUAAACUGGUUAGAAAUUUAGCUUUGUAGUUUAAUUUUUCUUGAAAAUAUUGUGGAUUGUAAUAGUAUUUCUCUAUGUAAUUAUUUUUUAUGAUUUUUUCUAUAAAUGCAUAAUAACAUAUAAACAUGCUAUAAAUCCACGGCAGCACGCGGCCAUGGCAACUAGUAUCAUCUCGAUACUGUUUAUUAUCUUUAUAUUAUUAUUAUUCACCUAAAAAGCCAUAGGAUGCAUGCUUGGGCGUGCCCUACAUCUAGCUUGCAGUGGUUUUGCCUUUGUACUGGUAAACCCGGGCCCCUCGGUCAUAUCCACCAUUUUAUCACCAAUCUUCUGCCAACCGAAACAUUGAAGGAGCGAGCCCAAUGCUAAUCCCACCACUCUCAGGGCCAAGACUUCUCCAGGACAGCUCCUCCUUCCAUGCCCGAAAGGCAUCAACUUAAACCCGUCUCUUCCCCCCUCCGGGUUGUCGAACCUCUCAGGUCUGAAUUUUGUAGGGUCUGGCCAGAUUUUAGGGUCAUUUUGAAUGGCCCACAUAUUUACAGAGAGCAUCGUGCCCCGUGGAAUGCGGAAUCCUCCAACCAGGCAUUCUUCUGAUGACUCAUGAGGUAGUAGCAACGGCGCUGGCGGGUACAUCCGCAACGUUUCGUUGAGGAUGCUGCGGAGGUAGGGAAGGUGGGCAAGAUCAGCUUCAUCCAUGAAACGAUCAUGCCCAAUCUGCUCGUCGAUUUCUCUUUGAGCCUUCUCGAGGACUUGGGGAUGGUUGAGCAACAGUGAAAGUGCCCAUUCCAUUGUAGCAGAUGAAGUAUCUGUUCCCGCCAACAAGAGGACCUACACACCAAACCGAAUAGUGGUAAUUAAUUCCAUAGACGAUGCAAAGAAAGUCACCAAAGUGACCUCCCACUCCCUUGUCAAUUCACAAUGGUGGUGUAACUUGACACGGAAACAACUUCUAGCAGUGGAGGUAUCUUACUGCUUGUAGAAAUAUCAAAUAAAGAUGAUGCAAAUCAAAUCACCAGAGUGAUCUCCCACACCCUUGUCAAUUCAAUACACCUUGGUUGCGUCUAUUUCUAAUACAUAAAGUUUGGUGCUAUACAUUAGACUUGUGAGUCACCUAAUCUCAAGGCAAUUAGACUUAGCAUGCUAAGUUCUAAGUGAAGUAGGUCUAAUUGAUAUUUAUUUUUCAUUCAGUAUUAUCAAUAAUUACAAUGCAAUUCCUCAUAUUUUACAUAAAAACAAGAUUUAGAAGCUAUAUAUACAUGAUAAAUGCUUCAUAAAAAAGUUUAUAUUUUUCAAUUCUCUACUCCUUUAAUAUUUGAAAUUUAUCACCGAAUGAUUUUUAAGUUCCUCCAAUUAAAAUUGUUUUUUUAGUAUUCAAGACUAUCUUUGUAAAUUUAAAGUUUUUUAAAUUUAAAAACAUUUGAAUACCUUAACUUAAUAAUUAACUCCUGUCCCAAAAACUAAAUAAACUAUUAAUUUAUAUUGAAAAUUUUAAUAUUUAACAUGUCAAUGUUAAAAAGGUUACUUAAUGUCAACAUUUUAAAGCUACAAGAUUCCUCUUACAAAAUAACCAGUCCAUUUAACAAGAUCGAAAGAAAAAACAUGUCCCUUCAAUGAUUCACAUUAUAAUACAAUGAAGAACAUUUGACAAUUCUGAAUUAUGAUCUAAACAUAAAAGAACAGUGCUGCAUAUCGGUAUCCCAACUCAAUUGAUCAUAAUAAUUAGUAAAUCAAACAACAUGAUUAAAGAUCUUACCAGCAUAAUCCCUUUGAUGAGAUCGUCCGUGUAAUACCCAGGUUCAGUUUCUUGCAGGGACAGCAGAACCUGAAUCAAAUUCGUUUUCUUUUCGCCACAACAAUCACUCUCCACUAUUUUUCUCCGCUGCUCUUCUAUCAAGUACUGCAUGAAACUAUCGCUCUUUAGAUGGCACUCUAUCACUCUCUUCAACAUCUUUUCUGAUUUAAUCCACGGUAUAAAGUCUCCAAUAAUGGUUUUUCCACCUAGCAAUAGGGUUUCAGCAUGAAUUGCUCGAAACCUUUUUGCUUCUUCAACAUCAGAAACAUCCUCUCCAUAAUAUCUCUUUCCAGCUAUCAUCCGCAUCAUUAUAUUCAGUGUCAGUUCGAAGAAAACUGUCCUCAUAUCUACAAACUGGUUCUGAUUACGGAAGAGAACACAAAUCAUUGACUUCACCUCCUCCAGACGUAUGGCAGAGAGCAUUUGGAGGCGGUGUGCAGACAAGACUUCAAUAGAGACGAUUCUCCUAAGGUUUCGCCAGUGGUCGCCAUACGGAGCCCAAAGAAGGCUUGUGGUGUUGUAGGCGAGGUGUUUUGCAAUGAGAUAGCCUGGGCGGUUUGCAAAGACAACAUCAUUUUUGGUAAAGCAUUCUUCAGCUAUCGAAGGGGAUGAGACAACAAGUUGUCGACGAGACCCGAGUUGGAGCAAGAUUACGGGGCCAUGUUUACUAGAGAUUUUUGAUAGUGUCCUGUAAAUUGGCUUCUUAAGUAGGUAGAGAUGGCCAAUGAUUGGUAGUGAAGGGAAUGGACUCGGUGGGAAGUUUCUUAUCUUGUUUAGGAAGUGCGUUGUUAUGAUAUACAAGACUAAAAACACAGGAAAGUAGAGAAAGAAGGUUG